UGUGCUGGCGACCAUAGCAAGAGUGAACCACCUGAUCCCUUCCCGAACUCAGAAGUGAAACCUCUUAGCGCUGAUGGUAGUGUGGGAUUACCCAUGUGAGAGUAAGUCAUCGCCAGCUCA
rnacentral:rRNA from 2 species